rnacentral:rRNA from 1 species
AGUGAACGCUGGCGGUAGGCCUAAUACAUGCAAGUCGAACGGCAGCACAGUAAGAUUUUUCCUUUACGGUUGGCGAGUGGCGGACGGGUGAGGAAUACAUCGGAAUCUACUUUUUCGUGGGGGAUAUCGUAGGGAAACUUACGCUACUACCGCAUAUGACCUACGGGUGAAAUCAGGGGUUCUUCACACUUUGCGCGUUUCAAUUAGCCGAUGUCGGAUUAGCUAGUUGGCUAGGUAAAGGCCCACCAAGGCGACGAUACGUAGCUGGUCUGAGAGGAUGAUCGGCCACACUGGAACUGAGACACGGUCCAGACUCCUACGGGAGGCAGCAGUAGGGAAUAUUCGACAAUGGGCGCAAGCCUGAUGCAGCAAUACCGCGUGAGUGAAGAAGGCCUUCGGGUUGUAAAACCCUUUUAUUAGGAAAGAAAAGAAGCGGAAUAAAACACGGAUGUUCUGACGGUACCCAAAGAAAAAGCACCGGCUAACUUCGUG